GAGGAAUAUUGGUCAAUGGACGGAAGUCUGAACCAGCCAAAUAGCGUGCAGGAUGACGGCCCUAUGGGUUGUAAACUGCUUUUGUAUGGGGAUAAAGUUAGGGACGUGUCCCUAUUUGCAGGUACCAUACGAAUAAGGACCGGCUAAUUCCGUGCCAGCAGCCGCGGUAAUACGGAAGGUCCAGGCGUUAUCCGGAUUUAUUGGGUUUAAAGGGAGCGUAGGCUGGAGAUUAAGUGUGUUGUGAAAUGUAGACGCUCAACGUCUGAAUUGCAGCGCAUACUGGUUUCCUUGAGUACGCACAACGUUGGCGGAAUUCGUCGUGUAGCGGUGAAAUGCUUAGAUAUGACGAAGAACUCCGAUUGCGAAGGCAGCUGACGGGAGCGCAACUGACGCUUAAGCUCGAAGGUGCGGGUAUCAAACAGGAUUAGAUACCCUGGUAGUCCGCACAGUAAACGAUGGAUGCCCGCUGUUGGUACCUGGUAUCAGCGGCUAAGCGAAAGCAUUAAGCAUCCCACCUGGGGAGUACGCCGGCAACGGUG
rnacentral:rRNA from 1 species